rnacentral:sRNA from 1 species
GUAUUGUUUACCUUCAUUUUCUACUUAUUCUUCAUGUUUUGAAGUUGACAAAUGG